GACGAACGCUGGCGGCGUGCCUAAUACAUGCAAGUAGAACGCACAGUUUAUACCGUAGCUUGCUACACCAUAGACUGAGAGCUGCGAACGGGUGAGUAACGCGUAGGUAACCUGCCUGGUAGCGGGGGAUAACUAUUGGAAACGAUAGCUAAUACCGCAUAAUAUUGAUUAUUGCAUGAUAAUUGAUUGAAAGAUGCUAUUGCAUCACUACCAGAUGGACCUGCGUUGUAUUAGCUAGUAGGUGAGGUAACGGCUCACCUAGGCGACGAUACAUAGCCGACCUGAGAGGGUGAUCGGCCACACUGGGACUGAGACACGGCCCAGACUCCUACGGGAGGCAGCAGUAGGGAAUCUUCGGCAAUGGACGAAAGUCUGACCGAGCAACGCCGCGUGAGUGAAGAAGGGUUUCGGAUCGUAAAGCUCUGUUGUAAGAGAAGAACGGGUGUGAGAGUGGAAAGUUCACACUGUGACGGUAUCUUACCAGAAAGGGACGGCUAACUACGUG
rnacentral:rRNA from 1 species